GUGGAAACUUGCUGAUCAGAGCCAGCCCAGAGCCUCUGCAGAUGACUGUUAAUUCAUGUCAUCCUGAACACUUUUUUUCUUCACUUAGGCCAAUCAGUCUGUGAAAGUCGCAUUUCUUUCUGCAAACAGCCAGGAGGCCAACAAGGAAGGGAUGGAUGUCUACAAGCCAGAGCAGAGUGCCUGGGACAUUACAUGGUUUCUGUGCUCAAGACUCUUUGUCUCACAGAGAAGGGAGGAGACACUAGACUAUUAUGAAAGAAAUCUCUGGCCUGUGAACGUUGUCUGGCUGUAGUCUGUCUUCUGGAGGAGGAAUGCUAGCUGGAGAGUCCAUGUUCAUUUUGAAUGUCCUCACUUCUGGACCCCUCAUCAUUUCUCUAUAUGCCCCAGCCCAUUUGGAGCAGCAAGUGGUACUUCUGAUGUCC